GAUGAACGCUAGCUACAGGCUUAACACAUGCAAGUCGAGGGGUAACGAGAGGAAAGCUUGCUUUCCUUGUCGACGACCGGCGCACGGGUGAGUAACGCGUAUCCAACCUGCCCCCAACUAGGGAAUAACCUUGCGAAAGUAAGACUAAUACCCUAUAAUUUCCUCAGAUGACAUCUGACGAGGAAUAAAGUUUUAUCGAUUGUGGAUGGGGAUGCGUCUGAUUAGCUUGUUGGCGGGGUAACGGCCCACCAAGGCAACGAUCAGUAGGGGUUCUGAGAGGAAGGUCCCCCACAUUGGAACUGAGACACGGUCCAAACUCCUACGGGAGGCAGCAGUGAGGAAUAUUGGUCAAUGGGCGGAAGCCUGAACCAGCCAAGUAGCGUGUAGGAUGACGGCCCUAUGGGUUGUAAACUGCUUUUAUACAGGAAUAAAGUUAGCCACGUGUGGUUAUUUGUAGGUACUGUAUGAAUAAGGACCGGCUAAUUCCGUGCCAGCAGCCGCAGUAA
rnacentral:rRNA from 1 species